AUACGUAGGGGGCGAGCGUUGUCCGGAAUGAUUGGGCGUAAAGGGCGCGUAGGCGGCCUGUUAAGUCUGGAGUGAAAGUCCUGUUUUCAAGAUGGGAAUUGCUUUGGAUACUGAUGGGCUUGAGUGCAGGAGGGGUUAUCGGAAUUCCCGGUGUAGCGGUGAAAUGCGUAGAGAUCGGGAGGAACACCAGUGGCGAAGGCGGGUAACUGGACUGCAACUGACGCUGAGGCGCGAAAGUGUGGGGAGCAAACAGGAUUAGAUACCCUGGUAGUCCACACUGUAAACGAUGAAUGCUAGGUGUAAGAGGUAUCGACCCCUUUUGUGCCGGAGUUAACACAAUAAGCAUUCCGCCUGGGGAGUACGGCCGCAAGGUUGAAACUCAAAUGAAUUGACGGGG
rnacentral:rRNA from 1 species